CCUGAAGAACAUUUUUUAAAUGUUUUAAUACCAUUUUUCCAAAGAAAUUUAAAGACUAAACAAAAAAAGUCAUCGCUUUUCAUCCUCCUAACAAAUCUCUUAUUGUUAAGCAUGCAAAUCUUUUUCUUUUCCCAGCAAUAAUUUUGUAAUGAACAUCCUUAUACCAUAAUCUUUAUGUACAUCUCUAAUUAUUUCUCUGACACAAAUUCCUUCACAUGUGAUUUCUAGAUCCUGGAGCAUGAAAAUUUCCCUUAUUGAAAAAUGGCCUUCUAGAAAAGUCUUACCAAUUUUCAUCCUACCAGUAGUACAAGACACUGUAUCAAAAUUAGCAUUUUUUGUUAUCUUGUCUUAAUCUGUACCAAAUUAAUAAGUGAAAAUGGCAUCUUUUUAAAAUAAUUUGCAUGUCUUUGACACGUCUUUUAUAAUUUUAAUAAUGUUUAGGAUUCUUUCAUUGUUCUUCUUAUGUGAAUUUCUUCCUAGUAGCACCUCUGAUCCUUUCAUAGGGUUUGCAGGAGAAUUAAAUGAGAUAAUUCAUAUGAAGUGCUUAAUAUAGUGACUAGAAAAAUCCUAAGUGUUUGAUAAUAGUUAAUGAGUUUUAGUUAUAAUUAUGAGUAUUGAUUUGUUUUCACUAUAUAUUGCAGGUAUAAAUGUCAUCAGUAAAGAAACUCAAUUUAAAUGAAGAUAGCAUUACCAUUACUCUGAAGUUACCCAGUUAAUAGUAAAAUAAAAUUUAUCCUUUCUGUAAAGAACAUGAAAUCACAAAUCUACGGAGGGAAGUUCUUGGUAAGUAAUGUAUUCAUGCCCCCCCAAUCCCAAUAACCAUCACAAGCCCUUCCCUUUACUUUGGGAACAGAGUAGUGAGUCCAAGUCCUCGGUCCAUAGAUGGACAGGGAUGUUUCUUAUGCCAAAAAGUGUCCUGUGCACCUCUUUGCUGGAAUGCAGAGGAAUAGUGCAGCCUGCAGUGCACAUUGCUGCCAGCUACAGGGAGAGAAAUACAAGUCUGGGCCAAGUGUGACCUCAGAGGCAGGAUCAACAACAGAAGGGGCAUUGAAGGGGCUCUUGCUCCGCUUCAAAACCAGAAAGUAGGCUUUUCAGUACCUUAAAGAGAGUGCUUAAUUUUUGCUAAGAUCAUAAGUAUAAUUCCUCAUUUGGCAAUAAUUGCAGUCAGCCUCCUAAGCUAAUUCCUUGCCUCUAAAUUCUUGCGUGACCAAGCCAUCGUGACAUUGCUACAGAUUUGUCAUCCUGAAACUCAGGGUGGAUUAUGCUCUUCCCGUCUUAGAAUACUUUGGCUCUUCUUACCGCUCCACACCUUUGCUCAUGAAAGAAAGUCUGAACUAUUAGCAUAGCAUUCACUGCCCUUCUCUGUCCAGCCUUACUUUUUCAGCAGCAACUCCACCUCAUUUUUCUGCACAUUCUGUGCUCCAGAUACUAGUCUACUCACCACUUCUCACACAUGGACCAUGAAAAUAUUUGUUCCUCCAAGAUUUUGCUCAUAUUUACUGCUCCCUGAGCCUGGAAUGCCUGUCUUCCGUUCUCUGUUGACAGAGACCCUGCGUAUUCUUCAAAGUCCUGCCCAGAUUCUUUCCAUCAAAUUUAAUCAUUCCUUCCUCUGUAGUCUUAAUAUAUAAUCUAUUUGGCAUAUUUCCUUCUGCCUUGUAUUAUUGAUGGUUAUUUACACAACUGCUUUCCCCCUUAGAUUAUAAGCAUAUGAGAAAUAGUGACCAUAUUUUAAUCAUGUUUGAUUUCCCCACAGCCCAGCACCAUACUCACAAAAAGGAAGUGCCCAGUAAUUAUUUCAUAAGUUGAAUUGAAUCUUCAAUUACUAGUUUUAGUUUCUUUCUAUAUAAAUAUGACAAUUUCCUCUAUGAGAAAAAGACACUCUCCAUUGGUUCCAAAGUAGGGUUUCCAGAAAAAUACAGGACAUCCAGUUAAAUUUUUGAAUUUUGAAAUUCAAAUUUAACUGGAUGUCCUGUAUUUUUAUUUGCUAAAUCUAGCCACCCUAGUCCAAAGACAUGCCAGUUUCACCACUGUCAGGGUUAACUUCUGGGCAACAGUGAAUUUGUGUGGGCAUAAAUCUGUUUGCAUCCAAUUCUGCUGUAGCAUUGUGUUUGUAGCCACCAUGAAUCCUCUUCAUGUAAGGGGAAUAUAAUGUUUUUGGGGGAAAAAAAGAGCAGAACAAAGGUAGUCAUUUAUAACUUGAUCCUUAUGUUCUCACAGGCAAAAUAGAAUAGAUAUUUGUGGAACCCAAAUUCCAGGUAUUAGUACCAAUUCUUCAAAUAGCUAGUCGUUCUGAUCAACAAGAUGGCCAAGGUAAACCUUUGAGGUCAUUGAGACAUUCUCCUUUUGUAUCAUCACCCAGGAUGUUUCUUCAUGCUGCCCUUGGUCUCUUGUUGUCUCUCUAGCAUCCCAACCACAAUGGGGUCAUUGUGUGGGCUCUGCUUCUGCCAGCUUUCCAUGCUCAGCCCUGAGGACCCAUGUCUAUGACCAGGUGAAUGUUCCAUUCCUUUAACACUGUGUGUAAGGUGAUUCUUUUUCUCGCUAAAUUGAAAUGUUUUAUGUUAUAAAAGCAUCAUUCAAAAGGACCAGGAAAAAUGGAGUACUAACAUUUAAAAGCCUUAUAGGUGAUCUGCUUUUCCCUGAAUAAGAUCCCUGAAUGAGUGAAUAAAUGAGGAAGAAUAUGAUGUAAAUAAGGGAUGCACUAAAACAAAAUGACAAAGUUUAAAAUAAAAGGAUGGGCCAAGAUUUUUCAGCCACGUCCCAGUUAAAAUGAAGCAGAAGAGGGACCAGUCCUGAGUGGUUGAAGUUCCACGCACCCCACUUCGGCAGCCCAGGUUCAUGGGUUGGGAACCCAGGUGUGGACCUACUCCACUCAUCAGCUGUGCUGUGGAGGCAUCCCACCUAUGAAGCAGAGGAAGACUGGCACAGAUGUUAGCUCAGGGCGAAUCUCUUCACAAAAAACAAUAAAGCAGGAUAAAUUGUAUAAAAUAGAAUCCAAGUGAAAAAGAAAUGAAUAGUGUAAAAGUCAUCAAUCCACAAUAAAAAACAUAUCAUUGACCUUUAAGCACUAAAUAAAAUAGUUUUAAAAUAUAGAAAGUAAUGAUUAUUAAAAAUCAAAGCAGAAACAAAGACAUAUAGUCUGGAAGACUUUAUAGACCAUUCUUAGCCUUUGACAGAUCAUGUACGCAAAAAAUAAACAAAGGCAUAAAGAAUUUGAAAUAUAGGGAAAAAAGGAACCCUGCAAAAAAUACAUAGUUCCUUGUGUGUUUGAUACAUAUAUGAAAAUUGACAGUGUGCUAGAUUCACUAGGUUAGCCGACCCAACAAUCAUUGUAAACUUUGUAGUCUACCAUAGAGACCGGAAAACUGAAAAGGAACCUGUCUGUAGGCUCUCCUGUGGCUGGGGGUGGGCGCCCACGUGGUUCAGUUCUAGCAAAGA